CUUGUUCUUCUUAAGCUUUUAGGUUAGUUUAUAAAUCUUAUUAACACAUUCAUAAACAUAGCAAAUUUUAUAAUUACUUUGAAGGAAGAUUUCACAACUUAAUUAAAUUCCUUAAAUAUUUAAGCACAUUUAUUAAUGUAACAUAUUUCUGUUUUCUUUUGAAGUAUACCAAUUAGGUGACUUAAGAAACUUCCCAAGAACUUAAGUCACUCUUAUAAGCCUAAUAAAUUAAAUUUAUAGGUAUGAUGAACCUGAAGUUCUCUUAAAUGUUACAAGUAAGAUUUUAAUCUGAAAUUACAAGCCUAAAGCAAUUACUCACCCAUUUUAGCUUGGAAUUACAAUGUUGACCUGUUAUUAUAAAACGUCCAAUUUUCUUAAAUAAUUCUAGUAACUAAAAUUCUAAUAGGCACAUAUUUCUAAAUAAAAACAUUUUAGAGUUGCGACUUUGACAUUUUCAUGCUCUAUAAUACUAAAUGUUGCUAUCAUUAAACGAUCAGAACAUGGCCAGGCACGUUGGCUCAUGCC
rnacentral:lncRNA from 1 species